UGGUGAUAGCUGGUUGUCCGAGAAAUGAACCUCAGUUCAACUUUAGACUUUCCCCACCACCCUCCUCGGUCCCCAUUAGUCUAAAAGAUAAUCAAUGAGGGCACAGCUUCAUUGAUACAGGAAACAACCUUUAUUAGAGACAAACCCACAAUAUUUUCCCCCGUAGGCCCUUAAGCAGCCAACAAAAACAAAAUGCGUUACAGCAACAUCAUUAUACCCAAUCCCCCAAUAUUCACAAACCUCCUACUAUAAUAUCGGACAAACCUAUUUAUAUAGGAACACAUAUGUUAAAACUAGUAAUAAGAGCAACUCUCUUCGCACAAGCAAACACUAACAGACAUUAUCACUUGAACCCCCAUUACCCCACAAGAAAACCCAACCCACCUAUACUGUUAGCCCAACCCAGGAGUGCACAAAGAAGAUUAAAAGUUACAAAAGGAACUCGGCAACCUAAGUCCCAACUGUUUACCAAAAACAUAGCCUUUAGCCCAACAAGUAUUAAAGGUGAUGCCUGCCCAGUGAUAUUUUCAACGGCCGCGGGAUCCUACACCGUGCAAAGGUAGCAUAAUCACUUGUCACCUAAAUAGUGACUAGUAUGAACGGCCAAAUGAGGACUUUCCUGUCUCUUGUAACCAAUCUAUGAAACUGAUCUUCCAGUUCAAAAGCUGGAAUCAACACACAAGACGAAAAGACCCUGUGGAACUUUCAAGUGCCAAUCAACAACAUGAUACAACCACUUUUAGUUGGGGCAACUUUGGAACAAAACAAAACUUCCAAUAAAGGGAAACAUUAAAUUUAGGUCCACACACCAACCUUUAUUUACCCACUAUCGACCCAGUACCACUGAUAAAAGAACCAAGCUACCCCAGGGAUAACAGCGCCAUCCCCUCUUAGAGUCCCAAUCGACGAGCGGGGCUUACGACCUCGAUGUUGGAUCAGGGCCCCCAAACAGUGCAGCAGCUGUUAAAGGUUUGUUUGUUCAACAAUUAAUGCCCUACGUGAUCUGAGUUAGACCGG
rnacentral:rRNA from 1 species